GGGGGUAUAACUCAGUGGUAGAGCACGUGCUUAGCAUGCACAAGGUCCUGGGUUCAAUCCCCAGUACCUCCA
rfam:Fukomys damarensis contig114756, whole genome shotgun sequence.